rnacentral:rRNA from 1 species
UGGGUAAUCUGCCCUGCACUUCGGGAUAAGCCUGGGAAACCGGGUCUAAUACCGGAUAUGAACUCCUGCCGCAUGGUGGGGGUUGGAAAGUUUUUCGGUGCAGGAUGAGCCCGCGGCCUAUCAGCUUGUUGGUGGGGUAAUGGCCUACCAAGGCGACGACGGGUAGCCGGCCUGAGAGGGUGAUCGGCCACACUGGGACUGAGACACGGCCCAGACUCCUACGGGAGGCAGCAGUGGGGAAUAUUGCACAAUGGGCGAAAGCCUGAUGCAGCGACGCCGCGUGGGGGAUGACGGUCUUCGGAUUGUAAACCCCUUUCAGUAGGGACGAAGCGCAAGUGACGGUACCUGCAGAAGAAGCACCGGCUAACUACGUGCCAGCAGCCGCGGUAAUACGUAGGGUGCGAGCGUUGUCCGGAAUUACUGGGCGUAAAGAGCUCGUAGGCGGUUUGUCACGUCGUCUGUGAAAUCCCUCGGCUUAACCGGGGGCGUGCAGGCGAUACGGGCAGACUUGAGUACUACAGGGGAGACUGGAAUUCCUGGUGUAGCGGUGAAAUGCGCAGAUAUCAUGAGGAACACCGGUGGCGAAGGCGGGUCUCUGGGUAGUAACUGACGCUGAGGAGCGAAAGCAUGGGUAGCGAACAGGAUU